AGAACGAGCGCUGGCGGCAUGCCUAAUACAUGCAAGUCGAACGAACUCUUCGGAGUUAGUGGCGCACGGGUGCGUAACGCGUGGGAAUCUGCCCCUUGGUUCGGAAUAACAGUUGGAAACGACUGCUAAUACCGGAUGAUGACGAAAGUCCAAAGAUUUAUCGCCAAGGGAUGAGCCCGCGUAGGAUUAGCUAGUUGGUGAGGUAAAGGCUCACCAAGGCAACGAUCCUUAGCUGGUCUGAGAGGAUGAUCAGCCACACUGGGACUGAGACACGGCCCAGACUCCUACGGGAGGCAGCAGUAGGGAAUAUGGACAAUGGCGAAAGCCUGAUCCAGCAAUGACCGCGUGAGUGAAUGAAGGCCUUAGGGUUGUAAAGGCUCUUUACCGAGAUGAUAAUGACAGUAUGGAGAAUAAGCCCGAUAACUCCGUAGUCCAGCAGCCGC
rnacentral:rRNA from 1 species